GCUCUCUGGUCUGUACUGACGCUGAGGCGCGAAAGCAUGGGUAGCGAACAGGAUUAGAUACCCUGGUAGUCCAUGCCGUAAACGUUGAGUGCUAGGUGUUAGGGGGUCCAACCCUUAGUGCUGCAGUUAACGCAAUAAGCACUCCGCCUGGGGAGUACGGCCGCAAGGCUGAAACUCAAAGGAAUUGACGGGGGCCUGCACAAGCGGUGGAGCAUGUGGUUUAAUUCGACGCAACGCGAAGAACCUUACCAGGUCUUGACAUCUUCGGACAGCCCAAGAGAUUGGGUCUUCCCUUCGGGGACCGAAUGACAGGUGGUGCAUGGUUGUCGUCAGCUCGUGUCGUGAGAUGUUGGGUUAAGUCCCGUAACGAGCGCAACCCCUGAUCUUAGUUGCCAGCAUUCAGUUGGGCACUCUAGGAUGACUGCCGGUGACAAACCGGAGGAAGGCGGGGAUGACGUCAAAUCAUCAUGCCCCUUAUGACCUGGGCUACACACGUGCUACAA
rnacentral:rRNA from 1 species